AGCCCUAGGAUCAUGCCUCAGGACUACCUGGCUUGAUGACUCCUGGCUGUCCCUAGUCCACCUGGUCGUACUGCUGCUCCAGUUUCAACUGUUCUUCCUGCGGUUAAGGAUCCCUGACCGGUUUUUGACUCUAUCUCACUCCGUACCGCAACUGCCGUCUCGGCCUCUGAAUGCUCGCCUAUGAAAAGCCAACUGACAUUUACUCCUGAGGUACUGACCUGUUGCACCCUCUACAACCACUGUGAUUAUUAUUUGACCCUGCUGGUCAUCUAUGAACGUUUGAACAUCUAUGAACAUCUUGAAGAACAAUUUGGCUUUAAAUGGCCAUAUACUCUUAUAAUCUCCACCCGGCACAGCCAGAAGAGGACUGGUCACCCAUCAGAGCCUGGUUCCUCUCUAGGUUACUUCCUACGUUUCUUCCUUUCUAGAGUUUUUCCUAGCCACCGUGCUUCUACAUCUGCAUUGCUUGCUGUUUGGGGUUUUAGGCUGGGUUUCUGUAUAGCACUUUGUGACAUCUGCUGAUGUAAAAAGGGCUUUAUAAAUACAUUUGAUUGAUUGAUUUGGUUGAACUACACAAAGGCCCCCCAGAGAACAUUCUCAGAGGACCAUCACGCAAUGUCCUGACGACUGGUUAAACAAAUGUCCUGAGAACGUCUUGAAGACGUCUUCUCAGUGUUGUCCUGGUAACUUACAAGGAACUAAACAAAGGUCCCCUAGAGAACGUUUCCUUGGGCCAUCACACAACGUCCUAAGUGCUAGUAAAAUGUAUGUUGUGAGAAUAUUAAAAAAAAGUCCUGACAUGGACAUCAGUAUCAUCCUAGUAGCUUACAGGGAACUAGACAAAAGUCCACCAGAGAACGUUCCCUUGUAACCAUCACGUGACAUCCUGAGGACUGGUACACCAAUUGUCCUGAGAAUUUCCUAAAAUGACAUGCCUGGAGCGUACCAGGAACUUGACAAAACCCUCUGACACAAUAUCCUGGCAUUAGCAAACGAAUUAGAACCUUUAUGGAACAUCCUGUGUGUUCGUUGGAUGUCAAGAGGAGAAUGUUCCCUAAUGGUCAUUCAAAGAUCUUAUUGUAACAUUUUGGCGGUAGCCAAUAAGGACCUGUACUGGAUGUCCCCUUGUGUUAGCUGGAUGUCCUGAAUAUAACAACACGGGGAACUUUUUGUAAUGUCCCCUUAUGGUCAUGCUAAGAUCUUAUUGUAAUGUUCUGUCUGUAACAACCUAGGACCUGUCGGAAAUUUCGCCAAGUGGUCAUUGAAUGAUAACGUCCUAUCAAAACCAAAUAGGAACUUAUUUGUAACCUUCCCUAGUGGACAUCAAAAUACCUUAUUCUAAUGUUAUACUGCGACUGACCAGGACCUGUACUGAACGUCACCUUAUGGUCCCGGGGUUAACGUCAUGUUCAAUUAUCCUCACGGAAACCCUGAAAGGGACCUAAUGGGAACGUCUCCUAAUGUCCUUUGGAUGUCCCCUGUUUGCUGGGAUUGUCCUGACAAACCUCCUGCAAUAAAUACUGUAAGACUGUAGCUCACCCUCGAAGGGUUUAUGUAAGUGAUACAUGGGGGUUACUGGGGGUGUGAGGAUUGUGUGUUUGUCUUUUUAAUUGUCUUGUGACCCAUCAAGUUAAGAAAUAUUUUUUUUUACCCAAGAGGAACUGGCAAUGAGUCGACCCUGAACUUAAGCCGAGUUAGUUCACAGCCUUCUAUAGAAGACCUAACACACAGUCCCAGUGUGAAUUUGGAGGGAGAAACCCCCUCUUGACAAGAGGAAGCUGGUGAGGAGAGGAGAGCAGGAGAGAGAAAGGAAGGAGGGGUGUGGUGGGGUUGAAGAAGGAAAAAAGAGUGAAAAGGGGAAUACUGGUCUACUUGACAUUAAAAGCACAUCUGAUCCUCUCAGCUGACUACAGCCUCUGUUUCAGCUAUAUCACUACAGAAGAACAUGGAGAAAAGCAGAAUAAUAUGUAGAGAAUUCUACAGAUAACAAUCGAAAUGGGGGUUUCAUAAAUACUCAGUGACCAUUCGGGAGUCACCUAUAAAUGUAAUAAAUGUUAUACAGUAUUUGAUAUAAUUACUGUAGUUAGAUCAUCAAGCCACUGUCACUGUGUGGCUUUGAAUUUCAGUGGUUCAAGAGUUGUAAGCACUCUGUAGGGGGAUGUAAUGCAUGAUGUACUGUAGUCACUCCAGCCAAGUGAUAAUUAUCUUGCUGAUUGAUAAUAAAAAAGACAAUGAGGAUGACAUUGGGCACAGGAAAUGUUUUUGUCAAUAAUUCAGCAACAUCAUCAGAUUUCAUAUUAAGAAGCGAGACUGUCGUCAUGUAGACUUUCCCCCGGAUAUUACACUGUCAUUAGGAGCUCUAGAACCAGGAAACCAGGGAUGUGUGGUUCCACUGUCAAACAAACACUGAGGAACAUACCUCAUUACACUGAAAGAUGGACAUAUAGAAAGACAGACAUGUUAUCCUCUGGAUGCAUUCCUCUCAUCCUAAACCCAAAUUUGGAGAUAAAAUAGUGACUUAAGUGUACAAGCAUUUAAUGAAUUUUGUAGUUGCAAUUUCUUUUGCAAACGUAACUUUUGAGAAUAAAUGCAACAACACUUGCAAACAUGUAAGAUGAUAUGUGAAUAAAUUCAAUAAGAUUAGCAAGCAUGCAACUAAAUUUGAGAAUUAAUGCAAUUCAUUUAUUAAACUUGCGACUGAUGAAUCUUAUUCUGUGAAUAAAAAAUACAUUUGCCGAUGUCGAAUCUGUGCGCUCAGAGUUUUGGCACUAACUUGGCGACUAAACUCUGCCAAAAGUUUUAUAGUUCUGAAAAAUAAUGGUGCAAGCAAGCAGCAUAGAAAAACACGAGCUCUGGUAGACAAGACUUUUUCUUCCGGUCAAUCAGGUAAGGUGUUGUCAUUCUUGAAUAUGCUUUCACGUUUCACAGUGUUCCGGUCUGGCUAGUGGUUCUUACGUUGUGUAGCAGAGCGAUAGGUCUAGCUAUGUACUUGACAUUUGGUGAAGACUAACAUUAGUUUAGAGAAUAACUGUUUACGCUGUGUAUACUAUAUAUGGUGUGUAGUUGGUUGGCUUUGCUAGUUAGCAAGCUGGAAUCUCUGCUCAAGUUGGCUAAUGUUAGCUAGCUUGCUAAUAAUGUUUUGAGGAGAACAGGCUAGCUCCCUGUAGCAUCAAGACGAAGGGAUUGGGAAGAAGAUUAGAUGUGCAGUUGCUUCAUCAGGCGAGAUGAGAGCUAAGUGCUACAGAUAUAAAAAGGUGAGAUCUCUCAGAUUCUAUCUUGAUUAGAUAGAUAGAUGUCAAUGUCAAACCAAUGCAAUGAUAUUCCUUUUAUUGGCUUGCUAUAUGAGCUGCUUUUCCUGAAAAUGUCUAUCUGAUAUAGCUAGCUAGUUGUUGCUGUUCCGGUGUCCGGUAAAUGUUACAGCCACAAUAUUAUGAUCAUCUAGUCAUGCAUCUGCAGACCAGCAAGGUGGAGAAAAGCCUGCUUUGGUUGAGCUAGCUAGAACAACAUCAACUAGCUAAAUAAAAUAUCAGAACCAUUUUCAGGAAAGUGUGGAUAGAGCUAGCUAUCUGUAGUAAUUUUUAUAUUUGAAACCACCACAUCUACAUCAUCUGAGCGAUCUCACCUUUUUAUCUCUGUAGCAGUCAGCUCUCAUCUCACCUGGGCAAUGCAUCAGCCAGAUGAAGCAACUGCACAACUAAUCUUAUUCCCCAUCCUCUCUUGUCUGGAUUAUACAGGGAACUAGCCAUGUUCUUCUCAAAACAUUAUUAGCAUGUAAGCUAACUUGAGCAGAGAUCGCAGCUUGCUAACUAGCAAAGCCAACCAACAAACCAAAUAUACAUCGCAAACAAUUAUUUUCUAAACUAAUGUUAGUCUCAACCGAAUGACAAGUACAUAGCUACACCUAUUGUUUCGUUACAUAACGUAAGAACCAUUAGCCAGAACGGAACCAUGUGAAACGUGAAAGCACGUUCAAGAAUGACUACACCUUACCUGAUUGGUCGGAAUAAAAAGCCCUUACCACCAGAGCUCGUUUUUUUCUCUGCUGCAAUUAUUAUUAUUUUUUUUACAACUACAAAACUUUUUGGAAAUGUUGUUUUUUUUUUUUAUGCACGUGAUGUUAGAACAUUCUCUCCAUUCCAGAAUGUGAUUGUUACGCAACAGCACAUUUAAUCCGCGCUGCCCUUAAACCAAGGCACGCAGCCUGUUUUAUUUAUAGGCUGUUUUCAACUUGUCAAUGUCAAAAUCUUUUCUAACAAGUUUUUUAUUUUCUAAGAACAGUUUGAAUUGAGGUGUGUUCCAUCUCAUUCAUUCACAUAAAAGUAGUCAUUUUUACUUUUGCGGACCAAUUCAUUUUUUCGAGAUUUCUGACCCAGACACUUCCCAAUUGUUUGUGCAGUUCAAGUCUGCAGACAUUUGCUCAUCUCCCAUCCUGCACACACGUGCUCACAUUUUCCGUCUGUUGCCUGCAUCACAGUCGUAGUUGUUUUUUCGUUACCAAUAAUAUCGUUUCUAUCAAACUACCCUGGCCUUACGACUCCCAAUUGGCGCAGCUGUCUAAGGCACUCCAUCUUAAUGCUAGAGGCGUCACUAAACACCCAGGUUCAAAUCCAGACCUUGUUUCUAUCAAAGUAAGUGCCUUAUUACGUUCUAAUAGUUUCUGUAUGUUGUGUUAUACCGUUUCUACUGUAGCUGACUGUGUGUAUGGAGCAUAAUAUAUUUGUCUGUAUUCCUUAUAACCGCAGACACACGAGGUAACAUUGCACAUUUCAUAACCUUUAUGGUGUUAUAUUCAAUCAUGCUUAUGUAGCUAGCUACAUUCUUCUAUUAGCUCUGUAAAACAAUGCUAAUUGCAUCAGAGAAGUAUUGGCUUGUUGUAUUUUAUAAGCUACCCUGGCCAAGUGGUGCAGCUGUCUAAGGCACAGCAUCUCAGUGCGAGAGGCAUCACUACAGACACCCUGGUUCAAAUCCAGGCUGUGUUUUUAUCAAAGUAAGUGCCUUAUUAUAUUAAUAGUUUCUGUAUGUGAUUUGCAUGUGAACUGUAUGUCCAAUUACAAAAAAUCCCUUGUUCAUUAAUCAUCUCACCUGUUAGUUGGUGGUGAACUAUGUGGCCAUUGAGGGCUGCGUUGAUCAGAUGGAAAAAUAUAUUAUUUUAUCACUUGGUUGUUUUCUGAGUGCAUUCCACAAAGCUGUAUAUCAUGUCCACCUUAUCCACUGCCCCCAUUUCGAGGUUAUAGUCAAGCACGCAGUCUGGAUUGAUUUUUCUCUCUCCCGUCAGGUGGUCCACCUUCCCUGUGGCCGACAUGGUUGUUGUAUGGACAGUGGAGAGGACAUGGAUGUCUCAUUUUUCAUGCAACUUUACUGCCAACUGUUGACAUGUCUUAUUUUGUAUAACGGAUCAUUUAGGAUGGCAGUAGCAUUGAUGAUGAAAUGCAGUCAUUGCAGCAGAACUAGGAAGCGGUCUUGGGAAAAGAGUUGCAAACAUAGGAUCUGUGCUCCAGUACUCUCUUAGUGAGUUCUUCUUUACUAUCCCCAUGAGAAGGACUGUCACCAGGAAGGUAUACAUUUCACUAGCUCCUCACCGUCACUGUCAGAAUCUGAUACCUGACUUUCAGACUCAUUGUCAGAAUUUUAAAAAAAAAUCUCCAGAAUUUCCGCAUUUGUGAGUUGUCUCCUUUUGAAAGACAUUGCUAAUGCUACAGCUUAGCUCACUAGUUACAUACAUGAACAACAACACUGAAUGGCUCAGAGUGUUAGUGAGAGGUUACGUGAUUGACUGCCUGCCCACGCCAUUUGUAUCAAUAAAUCACUAUCAGAAAAUGUUUUGUGUGGUAAUUAUUGAUAUAUUUACUGUUUUAUUCAUGUUUUUCAAGUUCCGGUGAUAAAUCAUGCAUUACGAUUCUUGCAUAGAUUGUAAUGGGCACAUAUUAAGUGUAUAAAAUACUUUUUUUGAAGGUUGUACUGAUUAUGAUGAGCUAAGCUAAUUCCAGCUAUGUGUGGAGCCAUGUUUGUUGACAUACAAUGCUUUCUGGGUGUCACACCCUGGCCAUAGAGAGGGUUUUGUUCUCUAUUUUGGUUAGGCCAGGGUGUGACUGGGGUGGGCGUUCUAUGUUCCUUUUUCUAUGUUUUUGUAUAUCUUUGUUUGGACCGAGUAUGGUUCCUAAUCAGAGGCAGCUGUCUAUCGUUGUCUCUGAUUAGGAAUCAUACUUAGGCAGCCUUUUCCCCACCUGUGCUUUGUGGGAUCUUGUGUUUGUGUAGCUGCCUGUGAGCAGCACAGAACAUCACGCUUUGUUUUCGUCUGUAUUGUUUUGGUGAGUUUCAUAUUUAUUAAACAUGUGGAACUCUAA